rnacentral:rRNA from 1 species
UACGUAGGGUGCGAGCGUUGUCCGGAAUUAUUGGGCGUAAAGGGCUCGUAGGCGGUCUGUCACGUCGAAAGUGAAAACUCAGGGCUUAACCCUGAGCCUGCUUCCGAUACGGGCAGACUAGAGGUAUGCAGGGGAGAAUGGAAUCCCUGGUGUAGCGGUGAAAUGCGCAGAUAUCAGGAGGAACACCAGUGGCGAAGGCGGUUCUCUGGGCAUUACCUGACGCUGAGGAGCGAAAGUGUGGGGAGCGAACAGG